rnacentral:ncRNA from 1 species
AAAGAGACGUUGAGCAAGAGGAGUAAUGACGUUUAUUGAUUUUUAGAGAGAAAACCCUAGGCUGUAAGGUUUUUAAUCAAGCGUUAUGAAGGUAGCUUGUGAGUCUUAAUCUUGAAAGCUUUAGUAAGGAUUAACGAGUCGUGAUCGUUAUCUCACGCUUAAGAGGUAGCAAUGGCUGCAAUUUAGGUGGUACCGCGUAAUUUACGUCCUAAAG